UCUUCUUAACGUUUUAUUAGUAUUAUAUUAUAUUAGAAUUAUCAAUUUAGAACCCUAAUCCAAGUUACAACUCUUUCUUUAGCCUUCACGUCUAAACCCUACAACCUCUCUAUUUUCUAAUAUACACUAGCACGCCAAAACUCGAUCCUCCCACCGCCAUCGCCACCAAGGAUCACUGCCAUUGCAUUGAUUUCUCUUUGCCUCUCCAUCGUUGCUCAAUCCAGUCCAUCAUGUUUUAUUUUGAGGCACAAAGGAGCUUGCACAGGCCUUGAGAGAAAAAAACAACCCUUGGUUUUAUUGAUGUUGGUGUUGCUGCAACAUGGGAAGAAGGAGAUCAAGAUUUCAAAGGCCAAUUUGAUGUAAGCCGUGGCUUUUGUGAUGGGUGGAAUUCAAGAAGCCUGCAAUGAUAUUUAAAUCUUUCAACGGUAUCAUAUACAUAAUACCAAGUUUUGUAUUUUUAUAUUCCCAGGUGAUAUAUUGUUUUAACCAAUCCAGUUGAUUGUAUUUUUAUAUUCCCAAUAUUUGAUAAUUGUUUUAACCAAUUCAGUUGAUUGUAUUAGUUGCGGUGGAGGUUGGCUAUUAUGGUCAAAUCGAAACCAAAGGCAUGUGGAUGAAACUUUGAAGUUAGUAGUGGAUUUGGUGCAAACAACCUGUACACUUGCUGUGGAAUAUAUGGAAGUUUAGAGAAAUAAUCAGUCUAGAUAGCCUGUUGAAGGGUGUACAUGGCCUCUAUGGAUUUGGGGCUUCAAGCAGUAGAGAUAGAGUGUGAAUUUAAUAGUCCAGUAGAUGAAGUAAAGUCAGCUAGACCUACCAAUUUGAGCAUUGGCCACAUCCUUAAUGAUGUUAGACUACUUGGUAGUUGGCUCUUCUAUUAGGAAUAUAUUUUUCUCUUGUGGCUUUCCUUGAACAAAUAGACCAACAAAGAAGAUAGCAUUUGAAGCAAAGAACUGGCUGGGUUUGCUAGACAAUGAUGUAUUGGAUGGAGGAGCAUCCCCCAUGUAUUAAGACUCUACUAAACAGUAAUGUACCUGCUCAUUGAAAAAAAAAAAAAAAAAAA